rnacentral:tRNA from 1 species
UCCCUGGUGGUCCAGUGGCUAAGACUCUGCACUCCCAGUACAGGAGGCCUGGGUUUGAUCCCCAGUGAGGGAU